AAAAAUACAAAAAUAUUUUUCCAACCUCUUUGAAGGAUGAUAGAUCUAUGAAAAAUAUUCUCAUCAAUUUAUUAAUUGAUUUGAGAUUCAUUUGAGAUUUUAGUUCAAUUAGGUUAUUUUUAUGCAUUUUUAAUUGAUUUAAAAUAGUUUCUGACUUUUAAAAAUGCUGAAUUUUUUUGUCAAACUUUGUUUGACCUUGUUAAACUUGGGAUAAUUCACUUGGACUUUUUAAAGUUGAUUUGAAGUGAGUUUGAAGUUUGACCUUUCU
rnacentral:lncRNA from 1 species